AGCUUUGCGCAGUGGCAGUGUCAUAGCCAAUGAGGUUUAUCCAAGGUGCGACCGUUGCUAAUUGAAAACUUUCCCCAAUACCCCACCUUGACGACUUGAGAUACAGUUGGCAGUACGGAGACGGAAAAAAAAAAAUUUA
ensembl:snRNA U4 U4 spliceosomal RNA